AACGAACGCUGGCGGCAUGCCUAACACAUGCAAGUCGAACGAGCCCUUCGGGUCUAGUGGCGCAUGGGUGCGUAACGCGUCGGAACCUGCCCUCAGGUUCGGAAUAACUCCCCGAAAGGGGUGCUAAUACCGGAUAAUGUCUUCGGACCAAACAUUUAUCGCCGUUGGAUGAGCCCGCGUGGGAUUAGCUCGUUGUUAGGGUAAAAGCUUACCCAGGGGAAGAUCCAUAGCUGGUCCGAGAGGAUGCUCAGCCACGCGGGGAGUAAGACACGGCCCGGAAUCCUACGGGAUGCAGCAGUGGGGAAUAUUGGACAAUGGGCGAAAGGCUGAUCCAGCAAUGCCGGGUGAGUGAUGAAGACCUUAGGGUUGUAAAGCUCUUUUAACCGGGAUGAUAAUGACAGUACCGGGAGAAUAAGCUCCGGCUAACUCCGUG
rnacentral:rRNA from 1 species